GAAAUGCGAUAAGUAAUGCGAAUUGCAGAAUUCAGUGAAUCAUCGAAUCUUUGAACGCACAUUGCGCCCGCCAGUAUUCUGGCGGGCAUGCCUGUUCGAGCGUCAUUACAACCCUCAGGCCCCCGGGCCUGGCGUUGGGGAUCGGCGGAAGCCCCCUGCGGGCACAACGCCGUCCCCCAAAUACAGUGGCGGUCCCGCCGCAGCUUCCAUUGCGUAGUAGCUAACACCUCGCAACUGGAGAGCGGCGCGGCCACGCCGUAAAACACCCAACUUCUGAAUGUUGACCUCGAAUCAGGUAGGAAUACCCGCUGAACUUAAGC
rnacentral:misc_RNA from 1 species